rnacentral:rRNA from 1 species
AUUCGAAGCAACGCGAAGAACCUUACCAGGUCUUGACAUCCUCUGACAAUCCGAGAGAUAGGACGUCCCCUUCGGGGGCAGACUGACAGGUGGUGCAUGGUUGUCGUCAGCUCGUGUCGUGAGAUGUUGGGUUAAGUCCCGCAACGAGCGCAACCCUUGAUCUUAGUUGCCAGCAUUCAGUUGGGCACUCUAAGGUGACUGCCGGUGACAAACCGGAGGAAGGUGGGGAUGACGUCAAAUCAUCAUGCCCCUUAUGACCUGGGCUACACACGUGCUACAAUGGACAGAACAAAGGGCAGCGAAACCGCGAGGUUAAGCCAAUCCCACAAAUCUGUUCUCAGUUCGGAUCGCAGUCUGCAACUCGACUGCGUGAAGCUGGAAUCGCUAGUAAUCGCGGAUCAGCAUGCCGCGGUGAAUACGUUCCCGGGCCUUGUACACACCGCCCGUCACACCACGAGAGUUUGUAACACCCGAAGUCGGUGAGGUAACCUUUUAGGAGCCAGCCGCCGAAGGUGGGACA